CGGCCUUUACUCCGUCACUUUAUUCUUUCAACAAUAUCCUUCGAUAGUCUUCUUCUGCCUCCAUCGCUGCCGAUUGACGAAAUCCAUUUUGCGGGUAAGUAACCUCUACUCUUUCAAGCCCUUCCACUGCUAAUGCAUGUGCCACUUUAUUCGCCAUUCUUGAGGUAUUUUUAAACACGCAUGCUUCGUAGCCAGAACUUAGCAUUUUUGUGCUUAAGCCAUAGGCACUGAUUCCCGAUUUAUAUAUUUUUCCAGAUUGCACCUUUUUUAUAACUGAUAGCGCAUUGCCUUCGAUUUCAACUUUUCCUAAUCCCAGAUCCAACCUUAAUUGAGCUGCCUGGACACAGGCAAUCGCCUCUGUUUCAAAAUCGGUUGGUAUAUGCUCAUUUAGGCGCAUGGUAAAGUUUAGCACCCUCCCACUUGAAUCUCUGACCACUAUCCCUGAGCAUGACCUAUUGCUUUGUUUGUGAAAUGCAGCAUCAAAGGUAAUUUUACGAACAAUUCCCCCGGUGAUCUCCAACGCUCCCCCUCUAUUCUUCGUGCAGGUAACCUUUUGUUAAACUCCUCUAGUUCCUGUAUGUAACUUGUGAUGAAACUGGCUAUUUUUUAUUCAUUUUGAAAUAUCCCCUCAUGUAGGUAUUUGUUCCUAGUCCACAAAGCCCAGAAUGAGCAAACUAUUAUUCGACAGUUUUAUAUUGAACCAUUAUUGUAAAGGUACAACAUCCAUUCUUUAAAAUGUCUUUUAUUUAAUUUCGGCAGCUAAUCUAUGGCUUUCUCCGGGUAUUCUUUGCAGCUAAACAAUCCCGAAAGGCACGCUUAGCAUUUUCCACUUCGCUUGUACAAUUAGGACACUUGGCAGAUCCCACUAUCCUCCUUUGGUAUAGAUUAAAGACCCUCGAAUUCAUAAUUUUUACUUUUGAAGGUAGAUCUAGGGACCAGAGUUUUUUUGAAAAAAGUGUUGUAAUCUUGUUGUUCAUUGUUGAGAGUAGUCGAGUGUGUCUCUUGUAUAAGUAUUUUGUAUCCACUCCUUACUGAGUAUUCGCCAGAAGCCUCACCUCACCAUACCAGUCUAUCUUUUUGUGGUGCAUAUGGAAAAGGAAUACACAAAAUCAUUUCAGCCUCUUCUUCAUUAAAGGUAGUUCUAAGUACCCCUUCCUUCCAACCAUUAGUAGUUUGGUCAAUUAAAUCCGACACAUAACGUAUAUGUUGAUUGUUUUCUUGUGUUUGAAUUUUGAAA
rnacentral:lncRNA from 1 species